rnacentral:rRNA from 1 species
ACGAACGCUGGCGGCGUGCUUAACACCUGCAAGUCGAACGGAAAGGCCCUGCUUUUGUGGGGUGCUCGAGUGGCGAACGGGUGAGUAACACGUGAGUAACCUGCCCUUGGCUUUGGGAUAACUUCAGGAAACUGGGGCUAAUACCGGAUAGGAGCUCCUGCGGCAGGGUGGGGGUGGGAAAGUUUCGGCGGUUGGGGAUGGACUCGCGGCUUAUCAGCUUGUUGGUGGGGUAGUGGCUUACCAAGGCUUUGACGGGUAGCCGGCCUGAGAGGGUGACCGGCCACAUUGGGACUGAGAUACGGCCCAGACUCCUACGGGAGGCAGCAGUGGGGAAUAUUGCACAAUGGGCGGAAGCCUGAUGCAGCAACGCCGCGUGCGGGAUGACGGCCUUCGGGUUGUAAACCGCUUUCGCCUGUGACGAAGCGUGAGUGACGGUAAUGGGUAAAGAAGCACCGGCUAACUACGUG